rnacentral:rRNA from 1 species
AUGUUUGAAAAGUUCAGUGAGAUGCUUUAUGAAGGUGGGUUGUAUAUGCUGGUUGAAGUUGUACCGCGUCGUGAGUACACCACCAGGUAUGUUAAGAAGGAUUCGAGAGAAAUGCGGUGCAAGAAUUACUUCAUCGUUCAAGUGAACGAUCUGGGUGAUGAGUUCAAGUGUGAAUGUGGCAUGUUUGAGCAUUUCAAGAUGGUGUGCAACCAUGUGCUUAAGGGUUCAGGAUCACAAGAGCACCACUUGUCUGCAACAAGGCGAUCUUCCAAAGGCAUCGAGGAAGUCGCCUCGAUGGUCAAGAUGCAGCUUGUGAGGUCACAGAAAGAACACUUGCACCAACCCACCAAAAUUUCAGUGUGA